rnacentral:rRNA from 1 species
AAUUAUGGCUCAGGACGAACGCUGGCGGCGUGCUUAACACAUGCAAGUCGAACGAGAAUCUGCGGAAAGAGGAUUCGUCCAAUUGAAGCAGAGGACAGUGGCGGACGGGUGAGUAACGCGUGAGGAACCUGCCUUUCAGAGGGGGACAACAGUUGGAAACGACUGCUAAUACCGCAUGACACAUCGGAGUCGCAUGGCUCUGAUGUCAAAGAUUUAUCGCUGAAAGAUGG